rnacentral:rRNA from 1 species
GAGAGCUUGCUCUCGGGUGACGAGUGGCGGACGGGUGAGUAAUGUCUGGGAAACUGCCUGAUGGAGGGGGAUAACUACUGGAAACGGUAGCUAAUACCGCAUAACGUCGCAAGACCAAAGAGGGGGACCUUCGGGCCUCUUGCCAUCAGAUGUGCCCAGAUGGGAUUAGCUAGUAGGUGGGGUAACGGCUCACCUAGGCGACGAUCCCUAGCUGGUCUGAGAGGAUGACCAGCCACACUGGAACUGAGACACGGUCCAGACUCCUACGGGAGGCAGCAGUGGGGAAUAUUGCACAAUGGGCGCAAGCCUGAUGCAGCCAUGCCGCGUGUAUGAAGAAGGCCUUCGGGUUGUAAAGUACUUUCAGCGGGGAGGAAGGUGUUGCGGUUAAUAACCGCAGCAAUUGACGUUACCCGCAGAAGAAGCACCGGCUAACUCCGUGCCAGCAGCCGCGGUAAUACGGAGGGUGCAAGCGUUAAUCGGAAUUACUGGGCGUAAAGCGCACGCAGGCGGUCUGUCAAGUCGGAUGUGAAAUCCCCGGGCUCAACCUGGGAACUGCAUUCGAAACUGGCAGGCUAGAGUCUUGUAGAGGGGGGUAGAAUUCCAGGUGUAGCGGUGAAAUGCGUAGAGAUCUGGAGGAUACCGGUGGCGAAGGCGGCCCCCUGGACAAAGACUGACGCUCA